UAUCCUAGAUUGCUUUCAAGGUCAUUUCUUUAGGGAACCCUAUUCCAUAAAUUCAGUAUCCAAAGAUGGUUGUUGUAUCUAUGGGAAUAAGGGUUCCCUAAUGAAAUGAUCUUGGACGCAAUCUAGGAGU
rfam:Oryza barthii chromosome 8, whole genome shotgun sequence.